CCACCUGCUUCCAGGUGAGAAUUUAAGGAGCGAUUUUACCAAGUUCCACGCACAGGCACCCCAGUGAGCCUCGACGGCUGUGCAGGAAUUUGAACCCAGGUUUCCUGAGUCCUCUCCAGGCGUAGACUCAGGAAGUCUGGGUUCAAACCCCAGCUUGGCCCACGAGGCAGCACUCUGCUUUCAUCUGAUCCGUUGAUCCUCAUCAAGGAAUCCGAGGGAGCCUUUAAUUUCUCGGAUGCACCGGGAAACAGCAGGGUGGGAAAAUUUGGAGGGGCCAAAUCUGACACGUCAACCUGCCCAAGCAGGCGAGAGGGGCCAAACCCGAGAAGGCAACCUGUUCCUUUAAAGGUUGACGAAGGAGGAUGGCGAGCAGGUGGCACCAGCGUGAACACGCGGAGGCGCCGCGUCUCCUCUUCCCCCCCCCCCAAUCUGGAAUGACCUCGCCUUCCGACGUGCACCUGUGCGCACGCAAAGCUUGGGUUUACCCACCGGGGCCUGCUUUAACCCCCCCCCCCAGGCGGAAGUUUUUCCGGCCACUCGGAGGCUGGUCCCUCGUUGGGAAUCAGACCCCGGCCGGGCGCUGGUCUGGCGCCUCCUCCCUCGGGUGUGGCCUCUCCAGGGGAAAGCUGCAGGUUCGGGGCUCCUCCGGCGCUUUAGGAUCAGCCUGCGCGGGUUGCCGGCACGACUCCCAGCCUCCGGCUCUUUGCGCGAGAGCUCGCGGGGGACCCAAAGCCAGCCGAAUUGGACCCCAAAAGGGAAACCGAGGGAGUUCGCUUGCUCAGCUUGGGAACCAGGCGGACGGAGACACCGCAAAAAAGGAUUGCUUUCCGGUCGAGUCCUGGCUGGGCAGUAAACGCACCCACUCCUGGGGCUUCCUUUGGAGUAAGUGCCGUCGCCGCUGGGAUUCUCCCCUCCUCCCGAUCUUGCCUCGUUGGAGGGUUUUGUUCUCAUAUCCGCCUCUUGAGUGGGAGAACGUGGUUCGGCGGAGUGAAUCGGUUCGGCGGUGGCUCGGCGGUUCUGACCUUGUUUGGGAAACAGCUCGCUUGGGGGGGAUCGGGUUUUCUUUUUGGUGAGGGUUGCAGGCAAAGUCUGGAACCUUUUGCGUGCAGGAAAAGAACAAUACAUUGAGCCACGGAAGACAUUCCUACAGCGUUUUUGUUGUUGUUUACUGUAAAGUCGCCUCCGACUUAUGGCGACCCCAUGAAUGAGCCCUCUCCAAAAUGGCCUGUCCUCAACAGCCCGGCUCAGCUCUUGUAGACUCAAGCAUAAGGGGAGUCAGUCCAUCUCAUACCUGGUCUUCCUCUUUUCCUGUUGCUUUCCACUUUUCUCAGGAUCCUUGUCUUUACUAAAGAACCCUGCCUUCUCACAAUACCCCCCCCAAAGUAUAGCAAUCUUAAUUCAGUCUUUUUUUUUCUUCUAAAGAGAGCCCUGCUUUGAUCUGUUGUUGUUAUGUGCCUAUACAGUUGCUCAUUUAUGUCAACCCUCUGAAUGAAUGGCCUUCAUAAGGUCUUGUCCUCAACAGCCCUGGCUCAGAUCUUGCUAACUGAAGACUGUGGCUUUCUGUAUGGACUUGAUCUAUCUCACAUUUCAUCUUCCUCUUCUCCUUCUGCCUCCAACUUUUCCCAGUAUGGCUUUGAUCUGUUGUUGUUAUGUGCUUAUAAAGUUGCUCAUUUAUGUCAACCCUCUGAAUGAAUGGCCUUCAUAAGGUCUUGUCCUCAACAGCCCUGGCUCAGAUCUUGCUAACUGAAGACUGUGGCUUUCUGUAUGGACUUGAUCUAUCUCACAUUUCAUCUUCCUCUUCUCCUUCUGCCUCCAACUUUUCCCAGUAUGGUUUGAUCUAGUCUGGCAUCUAUGAAGCUCUUCUUGAAGACCACAUCUGAAAAGAGGCUCCUGUUUUGCCCUGCUCAGCUUUCUUAUCCACAACCUUUUGGUCUGAAAUAAAUGAAUAGAUGGCUGAAGUUUCCA
rnacentral:lncRNA from 1 species